rnacentral:rRNA from 1 species
GACGAACGCUGGCGGCGUGCUUAACACAUGCAAGUCGAACGGUGAAGCUCCAGCUUGCUGGAGUGGAUCAGUGGCGAACGGGUGAGUAACACGUGAGCAACCUGCCCCUGACUCUGGAAUAAGCGCUGGAAACGGCGUCUAAUACUGGAUACGAGAAGGGUCAGCAUGGGCACUUUCUGGAAAGGUCUUCGGUUGGGGAUGGUCUCGCGGCCUAUCAGCUUGUUGGUGAGGUAAUGGCUCACCAAGGCGACGACGGGUAGCCGGCCUGAGAGGGCGACCGGCCACACUGGGACUGCGACACGGCCCAGACUCCUACGGGAGGCAGCAGUGGGGAAUAUUGCACAGUGGGCGCAAGCCUGAUGCAGCGACGCCGCGUGAGGGAUGACGGCCUUCGGGUUGUAAACCUCUUUCAGCAGGGAAGAAGCGAAAGUGACAGUACCUGCAGAAGAAGCAACGGCUAACUACGUG